GUUGUAUUUGUUCCUGUUUUUACAUUUUUCUCUAAUGAAUUUGUAUUGCUUUUGUGAGAUUUAAAUAAUAGUCUUUGGAGAGGCUUACCCUGUGAGAGAGCAGGAUAAGAAUGAUGUUGGUUGGAGAAGCUUGGUUUGUUUUUUGUUGUUAGUUUUUUGGGGUUUUUUUUGAUACCAGGAAUCAAACUUGGGUCCUUGCACUUGCAGGGCAGGCAGCCGAACCACUGAGCUAAAUCCCCGGCCCUGUUUUUGUUUUUUGAGGCAGGGUCUCCUUUAUGGUUCAGGCUGGCCCUGAACUCACAGUGUUUCCCAGGCUGGCCUCAAACGCUCGGGUGAUUCUCCUGCCUCGGCCUCCUGAGUGCUGGGAUCACAGGUGUGCGGCACCAUGCUGGGCUGAGAAGCUUUGUUUGAAUAACAAAUCUUCAUAGACUUUUUCCUCUUCGCUAAUGUAACUGCUAGUUCGUAUUAUUGAACGUAGCUGUUGUGAAGUUUAAAAGCAUCUCAGUUCACUCCCAAUCUUAGGAGGUCAAGCUAGUUGUUGAUGUUAAUAAUUACAGGAAUGCUCGAGGGCAGCACUUUGACCAGUCAGACGAGGCGCUGGGCUGCACGAGCCUGUGUGCCUGCUGCUGUCUUCCCUGAGUGCAGGGCUCUGGCUCUGGGUGGGAUAUGUUAGAGAAGACGGUCACUACCUUUGGGAUUCUGAGGGAUCUCGAGUGUGAGACCUGGAUGAGGACUGUGAAAAAUGAUUAUUAUGUGACAGAGGAGAAACAGGAUGGACGUUUCCAGCCAACUGGGCAUGUAACAGUGAUUUCCCUUCACCGCCCCAUCUGUAAAUGGAACAUGCAUGACUCACUGCUGGCCACACAGGCACUUUUGUAAGUGCUGUUUGAACGGGAGGGCGGGCUGGGCCUGGGAGGAGACAGGCGGCCCUCCCCUCAUGUUCCGUCCAGCUGGCUCAUAAUGGACUUCUGAAAAGGACAGUGUGCCUUCUCAGACACCGUGCUGCGGAGUUUUCUCUUGCUGGACUUUGUGCCAAAAUAAUGCAAUAUAUUAAGUGCAAGAAAAUGCAGCUAUUUUUUUAUUUUUUAAUUUUUUUUUGGUACCGGGGAUUCAACUUGGGUCCUUGCGCUAUGCGCAGCAGGUGGGGAAACCACUGAGCUAAAUCCCGGGUGAAAAUGCAGCUAUUAAUACUAUAAUGUUGUAAG
rnacentral:lncRNA from 1 species